rnacentral:lncRNA from 1 species
AAAAAUCAAGAAGAUGCACAUCAUUGGUGUGACACAAAUUGUCACACCUUGGUUCAAAAAUUCAUAUCUAGCAAACCACAAAUGAUAAAUGCACAAUCUCUACAUCAAAACAAAGAUGAAUGAGUCUAGUUUCACCACAAAAAAUUUCAAGGGCAUUGGAUACAUCAUGAUCAUUUCACAAGAGUUUUGGCAAAAAGUAUCACAUAGGCAUACAUGACAAGAAAAC